CGGGGGACAACAUUUGGAAACAGAUGCUAAUACCGCAUAACAACGUUGUUCGCAUGAACAACGUUUCAAAGAUGGCCUCUGGCUAUCACUUCUGGAUGGACCUGCGGUGCAUUAGCUUGUUGGUGGGGUAAUGGCCUACCAAGGCGAUGAUGCAUAGCCGAGUUGAGAGACUGAUCGGCCACAAUGGGACUGAGACACGGCCCAUACUCCUACGGGAGGCAGCAGUAGGGAAUCUUCCACAAUGGGCGCAAGCCUGACGGAGCAACACCGCGUGAGUGAAGAAGGGUUUCGGCUCGUAAAGCUCUGUUGUUAAAGAAGAACAUGCGUGAGAGUAACUGUUCACGCAUUGACGGUAUUUAACCAGAAAGUCACGGCUAACUACGUGCCAGCAGCCGCGGUAAUACGUAGGUGGCAAGCGUUAUCCGGAUUUAUUGGGCGUAAAGAGAGUGCAGGCGGUUUACUAAGUCUGAUGUGAAAGCCUUCGGCUUAACCGGAGAAGGGCAUCGGAAACUGGCUAACUUGAGUGCAGAAGAGGGUAGUGGAACUCCAUGUGUAGCGGUGGAAUGCGUAGAUAUAUGGAAGAACACCAGUGGCGAAGGCGGCUACCUGGUCUGUAACUGACGCUGAGACUCGAAAGCAUGGGUAGCGAACAGGAUUAGAUACCCUGGUAGUCCAUGCCGUAAACGAUGAGUGCUAGGUGUUGGAGGGUUUCCUCUCUUCAGUGCCGGAGAUAAAACCACUAAGCACUCUGCCUGGGGAGUACGCCCCCAAGGUUGAAACUCUAAAGAAAAUGAGGGGGGGCCGCACACGCGGUGGGGCAUUUGGUCUUAUUUGAAGUUACGCGAAGAGCCCUUUUCCGGUCUCGACAUCUUGCGCCCCCCCUAGAGAUAGGGGGUGUCCUUCUCGAACGCAAAGACAGAAGGUGCAUGGUCGUCGUCUCCUCGUGUCGUGAGAGGUUGGGUUAAGUCUCGCUCCGAGCGCCACCCUUCUUUCUAGUUGCCACGCACUCUCGUUGGGCACAUAUCGUGAGACUUCCGGCGACAAACCGGAGGAAGGGGGGGGCGAGGUCAGAUCAUCCUUCCCCCUAUGACCUGGGGUACACACGUGCCACAAUGGAACGUACAACGAGUCGCGAACUUGCGGGGGCAAGCAAAUAUUUGAAAACCGUUCUCUGUUUGGACUGCCGGUUGCAACUUGCCUGCCCGCCGUUGGAAUCGCUAGUAAUCGCGGAUCAGC
rnacentral:rRNA from 1 species